rnacentral:rRNA from 1 species
UACGAAGGGGGGCUAGCGUUGUUCGGAAUCACUGGGCGUAAAGCGCACGUAGGCGGAUCUUUAAGUCAGGGGUGAAAUCCCGAGGCUCAACCUCGGAACUGCCUUUGAUACUGGGGAUCUCGAGUCCGGGAGAGGUGAGUGGAACUGCGAGUGUAGAGGUGAAAUUCGUAGAUAUUCGCAAGAACACCAGUGGCGAAGGCGGCUCACUGGCCCGGAACUGACGCUGAGGUGCGAAAGCGUGGGGAGCGAACAGG